UACGUAGGGGGCGAGCGUUGUCCGGAAUUACUGGGCGUAAAGGGCGCGCAGGCGCCGUGUAAGUCCGCUGUGAAAGACCGGGGCUCAACCCCGGGGUGUCAGCGGGGACUGCACGGCUGGAGUCCCGGAGGGGGAGGCGGAAUACCUGGUGUAGCGGUGGAAUGCGUAGAGAUCAGGUGGAACACCGAUGGCGAAGGCAGCCUCCUGGACGGGUACUGACGCUGAGGCGCGAAAGCGUGGGGAGCAAACAGG
rnacentral:rRNA from 1 species